ensembl:processed_transcript
CACAUUUGUUACAUUAAGAGGAGAUGGAGGGGAACAAUUUAUUAAGCUUAACUCCAGAAUAAUGAAGCCGAUGUACUACUUUAUAUUUGAUUAGUUGGUGUCUUGAGUUAAUAGAACAUGUAUUUAGGACUUUGAUAGACUUUUUCCAGUUCUCAUUGGUAAUUUGAAUGUCUAAAUCUUUCUCCCAGGAAUCUUUCAAAUACAAGGUAGAUAUGUCAAACAUUAAAAAUGUCUAUAAAACAGGAUCAAAUCAAAAUAAAGUCAUCACGAGAAGCAGAAAGUAAUUUAUAUACAACAUGUUCAUCUGUUAAUAGUUC